rnacentral:rRNA from 3 species
UAAACGACUCUCGGCAACGGAUAUCUCGGCUCUCGCAUCGAUGAAGAACGUAGCGAAAUGCGAUACUUGGUGUGAAUUGCAGAAUCCCGUGAACCAUCGAGUCUUUGAACGCAAGUUGCGCUCGAAGCCUUCGGGCCAAGGGCACGCCUGCCUGGGCGUCACGC